CAGCAGCCGCGGGAAUACGUAGGUGGCAAGCGUUGUCCGGAAUUAUUGGGCGUAAAGGGCUCGCAGGCGGUUUCUUAAGUCUGAUGUGAAAGCCCCCGGCUCAACCGGGGAGGGUCAUUGGAAACUGGGAAACCUGAGUGCAGAAGAGGAGAGUGGAAUUCCACGUGUAGCGGUGAAAUGCGUAGAGAUGUGGAGGAACACCAGUGGCGAAGGCGACUCUCUGGUCUGUAACUGACGCUGAGGAGCGAAAGCGUGGGGAGCAAACAGGAUUAGAUACCCCGGUAGUCCCUGUCUCUUAUAC
rnacentral:rRNA from 1 species